GAUGAACGCUGGCGGCGUGCCUAAUACAUGCAAGUCGAGCGAACAGAUGAGGAGCUUGCUCCUCUGACGUUAGCGGCGGACGGGUGAGUAACACGUGGAUAACCUACCUAUAAGACUGGGAUAACUUCGGGAAACCGGAGCUAAUACCGGAUAAUAUAUUGAACCGCAUGGUUCAAUAGUGAAAGACGGUUUUGCUGUCACUUAUAGAUGGAUCCGCGCCGCAUUAGCUAGUUGGUAAGGUAACGGCUUACCAAGGCAACGAUGCGUAGCCGACCUGAGAGGGGAUGCGGCACCACAGGAACUGAGAACCGGCCAAGACCCCUACGGAGGGCAGAAGUGGGGAAUUUCCCCAAAUGGGCGAAAGCCUGAGGGAGAACCGCCGCGUGGGUGAUGAAGGUCUUCGGUUGGUAAAACUCUGUUAUUAGGGAAGAACAAAUGUGUAAGUAACUAUGCCCGUCUUGAGGUAACCUAUCAGAAAGCCACGGCUAACUACGUG
rnacentral:rRNA from 1 species